rnacentral:lncRNA from 1 species
AUGGAACAACUUUGGGAAGCAACAAAUGGAUUUGAUGAAGAGUGUUUGAUUCAAGGGUCUGUGUAUAAAGGAACAAUUGAUGGAGAAGUGUUAGCAAUCAAGAAAAUGAAAUGGAAUGCCCGUGAAGAACUCAAAAUCCUGCAAAAGGUAAAGAAAAAACGUCACGUAAAAUUCAGCAUAUAUACGUAUCCACUAGAGAAUUUUUUUGUAUACUACUAUCCCUCAUCCCAAUUUAUGUGACGUAAAAAUCAUUUCAUUAAGGAUAACAUGAACACUUUAAAGUUAAACUGUUACUGGAUAGAAUAUAUGUCAUUCUUUUCAACUUUUUUUGUUUGUGUAGGUGAACCAUGGGAAUUUGGUGAAGCUAGAAGGUUUUUGCAUAGACCCUAAAGAAGCAAAUUGCUACUUAGUCUAUGAGUAUGUUGAAAAUGGUUCACUACAUUCUUGGCUUCACGGUGAAAAACCUGAAAAAUUGAGUUGGAAAACAAGACUAAGAAUUGCAACUGAUGUUGCAAAUGGUCUUUUAUACAUUCAUGAACAUACAAGGCCAAGAGUUGUCCACAAAGACAUCAAAAGUAGCAACAUUCUCCUAGACUCCAACAUGAGAGCCAAAGUUGCCAAUUUUGGUCUAGCUAAAUCAGGGUGCAAUGCUAUAACAAUGCACAUUGUAGGUACUCAGGGGUACAUCGCCCCCGAGUACCUAACCGAUGGGAUUGUAUCCACUAAGAUGGAUGUUUUCUCAUUCGGAGUUGUGUUGCUCGAGCUUGUGUCAGGGAAGGAGGCUAUCAACGAUGAAGGGAAAGUCUUGUGGGCAAAAGUUAGUGAUUUUUCAGAAGGGAGUGAAGAAAGGAAGGUGAGUAAAUUGCAAGAAUGGAUGGAUGAAAGUCUUUUGAGGGAAGAAUUAACUAUCGAAAGUGUUGUGAAUGUGAUGUCUGUGGCUAUUUCAUGUUUGAAUAAAGAUCCUUCAAGAAGGCCAGGCAUGAUUGAAAUUGUGUAUGCGUUGUCUAAAAGUAUUGAUCUAUUUUCUGAUGUUUCAGAGGAGGGACUAUCUCCAAGGCAAGUCACAGCAAGAUAGACUACAUAAUAGUACAAGCAUAUUAUGUAAAGUUGUUUUGAAGUGGAGUAGCAUUUUGUGUUUUGAGGUUUUUACUUUCCUUAAAAGUUUUUCUUCUAUAUAUGUGUAAUAUUACUCCUAUAUUAUCUUCUAUAGUAGUAGUGGUAAAUCUAAUUCAGAAUAAAAGCAUGUUUAAGGUUGUUCUAGUGUAAUUCUUUACAAUUACAUGUAUUAGUUAUGCAGUUAUCUAAAUUGCAAAUCAAACACCAUAUUGAUUUUAUAAUGAAUAAUUUACCUCCUAAAUCAGCUAACAAACAUGAUAUUACUUAUUAAGAACCCGAUACUUGCAUAACUCAACUCCAAACCAACUGCCAACCGACCUUGAAUGAAAAGUAUUUUCCCUAAUUCUUGCAAUAGUUAAAUGUACCUUGGAAAAAGAUGUAUCUCAGAAAUAGCUAGUCCAAACAUGUGAAAACAUCCUGGAGAAAAACAACAAAUAUAAACACGAGUAUUUUCUACAAUAUGGUUGACCAAAAACCCUUCUAGGUGGGACCAACAAAUUGGAAAAAAAAAACCAUCUUCCUUUAAUGUUAAAGACAAUACCAUAUGAGAAAAUAAAUAACAACAACCAAUCAAAUAAUGCAGAAAAUCCCCAUCACUCAUUAAAUGGUCGAAAACCAAGACUAUGACAAAAAAAACAAGAACUUUGGUAUAUAAACCUCUUAUAACAACAUCAUAUUAUAUACACACACAUCUCUCCUUCAACAAAACACAAAACCAAGAAAAUGAUAACAAAACCAAUAUUUAUUUUUUCACUUCUCUUCUUCUUAUCAUUCAUAUUGAACCAAAACAUAAUAUGUUAUGCACAAGAGCCACCAAGCAUAACAGGAUAUACUUGUAAUCCUGAGCAAUUCAAUCCAUGUCAAACUUAUGUGUUAUACAGAGCUAGAGCACCAGAGUUUCUUGAUUUAGCCUCAAUUGGUGAUCUAUUUUCAGUAAGUAGACUAAUGAUAGCAAACCCUAGUAAUAUUUCCAACCCAAACACAACUCUUGUUAAUGAUCAACCCCUUUUUAUCCCCAUCACGUGUUCUUGUAACAACAUCAACACAACUUUUGGUAGCAUAUCUUAUGCUGGCUUUAACUACAGUUUCAAAUCAGGUGACACUAUGUAUGGUGUAUCAACAUCUAAAUUCCAAAACCUUACUACUUAUCAAUCUGUUGAGGCUGUUAAUCCAACUGUUGUACCAGAAAACAUUGACAUAGGUCAAGCUAUAAAAUUCCCAAUUUUUUGCAAAUGUCCAAACACAACAUCUUCACAAAAUCAACCAAGACUACUCAUAACUUAUGUUUUUCAACCUAAUGAUAACAUUUCUUCUAUUGCCUCAAGAUUCAGAGUAACCCCACAAUCUAUAACACAAAUUAAUGGAAAUAACACCAAGAUUCUUGAUACCCUUUUCAUCCCUCUUUCUAAUCUACCUAAUCUUACACAGCCAACAUCAUCAAAC